rnacentral:lncRNA from 1 species
GUUUUCACGUGUACCCAAUAGUUUUCGAGAGAAAUGCCUGGUCCACCGAAACGUGGGCACCCUGUAUAUAGAAGUUAACCUCCAUAGGAAUAAUUCAUUAGAAAAUCCAAUAUAUAAUAUAUAUAUGCAAGAAUGGAGAGAUUGGCUAGAUCCCUAAGACGAUGUCAUAUAAAGAAACUUAAAUGGAUUUUCUACAAUCAUCUUGGACUAAUAGUCCCAAAAUCUUUAACCUGCAUGGCAUACAGUAGUAACCAAUAUAGAGGUUCCAACUUAUGCACAGGAAAUCUUAGCCAAAAUCCCUAUGUUUAUAAUAGAAGAUGGUUGCAGAAUAAUCAUCUUGGCAAUAUUAUUUGACAAUUUGAUCCUUGCACUACCAGAAUCUACAAAGAAUUUUCUCAGAUGGAAGUUUCUCAAUGAAACAACACAUGAAAGAAAGAAAAAGUUGACAUCACCAAACUCAAAAUAUAACAGGCUAAGUCAUUCUAGAACUAAAAAAUGGCUUAACAUUGAGGAUCUUAUCUCGACAAAGAAUGAUAAAUCUUAAAAACUGUCUUAAUGAAAUGAGCAGACUUUACCUCAUUCUUUAAAACUUUUAUUAAAGAUUCAGGUUCUAUAGUGCUACAAAAGACCUAUCAGCAUCCUUGACUCAAACAACAAGAAAGACUUCUCUAUAUACUUUAAAUCCAAACAUCCAAAAUCUUGCAUGCCUGUGGGGAGACCGAAUGUGGUAAUUGUACACUUUUGGAAUUUGAGGAAUGGCUAUCAUGACAGAUGGGGACAGCGAGAGAGACAUUCCAACCGGGCAGUCAAGGGAACAGCAUUCAGAGAUAAUGACACGUAGAUGUUCAUGUCUGAUGUACUUUUUAUCCUAUCUGUUCAACGCAUAAUCCUAGUAUAAAUUAAUUAUUGAUAUAUAAUAAACCUUCUGAUGCUAAAUGGAGUUGUAUAGUUUUCAAAACAC